CCUACGGGCGGCAGCAGUAGGGAAUCUUCCACAAUGGGCGAAAGCCUGAUGGAGCAACGCCGCGUGGGUGAAGAAGGUCUUCGGAUCGUAAAGCCCUGUUGUUAGAGAAGAAAGUGCGGGCGAGUAACUGUUCACGUUUCGACGGUAUCUACCCAGAAAGCGCCGGCUAACUACGUGCCAGCAGCCGCGUUAAUACGUAGGGGGCAAGCGUUAUCCGGAUUGAUUGGGCGGAAAGGGAACGCAGGUGGUCUUUUAAGUCUGAUGUGAAAGCCUUCGGCUUAACCGGAGGAGUGCUUUGGAAACUGGGAGACUUGAGUGCAGAAGAGGAGAGUGGAACUCCAUGUGUAGCGGUGAAAUGCGUAGAUAUAUGGAAGAACACCAGUGGCGAAGGCGGCUCGCUGGUCUGUAACUGACGCUGAGGUUCGAAAGCGUGGGUAGCAAACAGGAUUAGAUACCCUAGUAGUC
rnacentral:rRNA from 1 species